rnacentral:rRNA from 1 species
AUGAAGGCCCUAUCUUCCCUGUUACUUCUCGUGGGAUGGGAGAUAUGGAAUGAAAGGAAUGCUCGUGUCUUCAGGAGCAAAGCGGUGCCGGUGGCGAUUGUCAUGCGACGCAUCAAAGAUGAAGUUUCGAUUUGGGCCACUGCAGGCGCUAAGCAUUUGCGUAAUGUAAUACCGUGAGAGUAA